UCUGUGGGUAUUGGGAAAAGUUUUCAAUUAGCAAUAAUUGCGCCUCGGAUAAACCUCAUUGGCUACGAUACUGCCACUGCGCAAAGCUGGAGUUUUCUAUGAUGAACGCACAUCUUAUACUUUGAAAAUUCAGUACACUUUUAUGUUUUGGGGGAAAGUAGCCCACAAGAAUCUUUACGACUUUGACCUCUGGCGUCAUGUGUCAGCUUUCUCCCCCAACACAGACUAUCAACUGGUGCUGCAGUGUCAACCUUUGGCUAUCUGGAGCUACCGGCUCUCUGGUCAGCCAUAUUUUUGCUUUCUCUCUCCCUGCUUGAGUGGUCUCCCUGGCAUAUGCCUGUAGCCUUGACUUUUCCUUCCGAGGCUCCGAUGCAGGCCUGUCCUUUAGCAUUCCUCCGUGUGGCCCUCCUCACGGACUCUGCCCAGCUGGGACUGCCCUUCCUGGCCUGGUGUUCCUUUCCCCUCUGGCUUACUCUGCCUGGCUUUGUGAAUGUCUGUGUUCUCGCCUCCUCUCUGCCACCGGGAGGAUUGUUUUCUUCAGCCUGCCUCACUCAUCAUAAAGAGCAAGAACUUUCCCCUGCUGUCUAUGUGUUUGUCUGACUCUCCUUAAAGAACAACCUCUGAUAGAAAGUACUCAGUGGUCCAAUGAGAAGAAGCUUACGAUCUUGCCAUGAAGAGGCAUUGUUCUAGUGUUAAUGUUUUAAGUGUAUGUGUUUGGAAAGCUGCUGUUCACGCUGUAUACUACUGUACUCUCUUUCCCUCGCUUGAUUUUACAUUUGGAAGCAUCAUCUAUGUUGCUAAAUUUCCGUAAACUGAGACAUCAUGGAGACUGGGGCAUUCCACGCAGCUGAACUGUGUCUAUUAGCUGAUCCUUAGUUGUGCAGUGUCUAGCUGCUUGCUCUUUAAGGGGACAGUGGAGGGAGAAUGGCACAGCUGCCCUUGUCAGGACUGCCAGACAAGGGGCUUGAACAUUUUAAGGUUCUUCCAAUGUUCUUCAUUAAACUGCUUUCCUGAAAGGUUUUACUGGUUUGUGCUGCCACAGCUAAGAUUGGGGGGCAGGGGGUGAAGGAAGGGGUCAUGGAGGCCUAUUCUAUUGUAUUCUCAUUAAUACUACCAUGAAAAGAAAAGAAAAAAACUUAGUAUUUUUAUAGGCAAAAAGCUACAAAAGUUCACCUUUUCGGGGGGGGGGGGGGGAGGGUCCCAGACAGGGUUUCUCUGUGUAGCCCUGGCUGUCCUGGAACUCACUCUGUAGACCAGGCUGGCCUAGAACUCAGAAAUCUGCCUGUCUCUGCCUCCCAAGUGCUGGGAUUAAAGGCGUGCGCCACCACUGCACAGCUAAAUUUUCACAUUUUUGUGUUCUUUUUCUAACUCAUUUGCCUCUUCUUUAUUGUUCUUAUCUUUUUUGUUUUGUUUUGUUUUUGUUUUUGUUUUUGUUUUUGUUUUUGUUUUUGUUUUUGUUUUUGUUUUUGUUUUUGUUUUGUUUUAGUUUUAGUUUUUGAGUCAUGGUUUCUCAGUGUAGUUCUGGCUGACCUGGAACUCUGCUGACCUGGCUGGCCUGCCUCUGCCUCCUGAGCACUGGGUUUAAAGGUGUCCACCACCACUGCUGGGCAGUUUUCCCUUGGAAGUUUUCAUCACCAUAUUGCCGAUUCAUUGUUAAACCCUAACCUGUUUCUGGAGGGUUUGUAAAUCUCUUGGCAUAUUAAGGAUAUUGUUUCAUCUGGUUGCCCCAACUCUUGACUGAAUAUUUAGGAGAUUAGCUUGAUGGUAGAGGCUGGAGCUUGAGACACCUUUGCCUCAUGUCCUCUCUGUCAUGUCCGCAUAACUGACUUACUGGCUUUGGGGUCUGGCAGGGUUGGGGCUGGAUGACCAAGGGAUGCGCUCAGGGUUCAUUCAUCUCAGGGCAUGUGAUCAACUUUGGACGAAUUAAUUACAAGGCUGCCCUACCUAAGUAAGUGCUGUUAAACGGAAGCCAUGCUUUCUCCAUGGGAUUCGUAUACAAAGGCUGUGGUGUUCCCAGGAAUUGAUUAACUAAGAGAUAAAAACCCCAAAACUGUCUAGCUGUGCAAGGCACAGGAUAAACGGCCUCACCUGUUGUCACCAUUUGCUUUACAAAUUCGAGGGAGUCAAAACCGCAGCAAGAUAAAGUGUCAUCCUACUAAGGUGACUGUCAUAAAACACAAAACCAAACGAACACCUGACAACCAGACAGUGAACAAGGGGCCGGGAGAAAGUAGUGAGGAAAGUGAGCGGGCUCUCCUACAUUGCCCUAAGACGAUACAAUGUUGCAACCACUUUAGAACCCAGUUCUGAUGGGGGCCCUGAAAAAAAGAAACAUUAAAUGCCAUUACCAUACUACCAGACACUACUCCUGUGCUAGUAUCUGAAAGAACUGAGAGCAGAACCGAGCUGGUGCAGGGAUUUGCAUAUGAACGUUGGCCAUUUCAGUAUUGUUCAAGAUAUCAAGGGAGUGGUCGCCAUCCUAAGAAACAAGAGCACUGAUACUCAUUAUAACGCAGAUUAGUCUCGAAAAUACCAAGCUAAGGGAGAUGCACCAGCAGUGAAAGCUACCUCGCAUGUCUGAUUCCAUGUAUGUAAAAAGGCCAUAAUAGGAAAAUCUGUGGAGACAGAAAGGAGCUGGCUGGGGUGGGUGUGGGAAGGAGGGAAGGAGGGUUCUAACGGGCACAGCAUUUCAGGGGAGAAGGUUGCAGGUGUUCUGUGAAUGCACUAAAGUGCUGAAUUGCACACUUUGAGAACUCCAUGGUAACCGAAUUCUAUCUUCACAACAUUGAGAACUAAGGGCAGCUCAGGUACAGCGAGGCUUGGCCUCAUUAGACAGGUGGUGGCCAUUCUCACUCGCAGCAGCGGGUGCCUUGGAGAGCGAUGUGGCAGCAGGGUCCCCAAGGAUGCUUGUCCAAUCUGGCAGUGGCUGCAAGGAGCCCCCAUCUAAUCAGUAGUUCUUUAUGUGACCUGGGUCUGUGAAGAAAGCCUGGGGCACCUAUGACAGGGUGAGAGAAAGUUGAGUGUUCUUUAUUAAAUAGAAUAAAACAAAACUGCCCCUAAAUUAAAUUGGGGAUAAAUAAGAGCAUAGUGUAGUGGCGUGGGACUGUUUCUGAGCUUGGAAUGAUGAAGUUGUGAUCUUGGCUCUGCCACUGCUUUGGUCUGUUACCUCGGGCAGAGCCUCCGUCUUCCUCAUUGGCAAGGCAAGGAUGGAGCCUGGCUUGUUUGUCUUACAGGAUUUGAGAGGACAUAUGAAACAUUUAUGUGAAAGUGUGUGUAAGCCUGGGAAUUGUUGCCCCUGAUCAUUCCAUGAGGCCUGUCUCUCUCUUCAUCUCUUGAUCUGUCUGUUUCUCCUAAAAUUAUUUCAGACUUGUGUGUGUGUGUGUGUGUGUGUGUGUGUGUGUGUGUGUGUGUGUAUGCAGGAGUGUUUCACCUGCAUGUAUGUGUGUCUACCUGCAUGCAUGUAUGUCUACCCUGGUGCCUGAGAAGGUCAAAAGACAGCAUUGGAGCCCCUGGGAAUGGGGUUAAUGGAUACUUGUAAACCAUCAACUGGGUUCUGGGAACCAAACCAGGGUCCUCUAGAAGAGCAAUAAAUGCUUUUAACCAUGGAGCCAUCUCUGCAGCUCCUUUUUUUCCCACUAACAUUUUUACAAGAUACCAGCGAUAGACCUUGCUCAUGCUGUGAGGUGGUCUUCUGAAGCUUCCUAAAAUGUAUCCAGGAGAUGUUAGUUACUAACUUACCAGUAACUCGUGCUUGGAGAUGUUAGUUACUAACUUACCAGUAACUCGUGCUUGGAGAUGUUAGUUACUAACUUACCAGUAACUCGUGCUUCGAUUUUAGUAACCUUGUAUAACUGCAUUAACAUGUACUGUGACAUUUGUCCAGAGAGAGUGAUGUAACUGAUAGGCUGGGGUAGGUGAUGAGACAGGAACACCCACAGUGAGACUUGUAGGUGGUUAAUGGCAAUGCAGGAGCCAGGGAUUGCAUUUUCUGCCUGUGGGGAGUCCUCUGAGUGUCCUGGUGUAUAAGGGCGUCUUCCAGGGUCUUUACAUAGAGAGGCUGGAAGCCCCUCAGGAGCUACGUUGGCUCUUAAGAGAUUCUUGAGCUGACAGGUGAGUGUGACAAUCCCAGGGUAGAAGGAUGCUAACACACUAGCUGGAGUGGAGAGGAGUCGGUGCUGGCAGAGGUGGACUUGCUCUUUGAUCCAGAGGCCUAGGGAUACAGCUAUAUAUCUAAUGUGCAACCCGGUGUGCCUACACAUUAAAAGAGCUCAAUCCAAAAGCCCCUGAGCACAGAUGAUGUGGUGUGGUAGCUCACACCAUUAAUCCCAGAUUUUAGGAGGCAGAGGCAAGUAGAUAUCUCCGAGUUAAAGGCCAGCCAAAUAGUGAGACCCUGCCUCAAAGACAAAACCACCCCCACCCCCUUUGUUCUUUGCAAGGGGAUGAUUUUUAGACAUGUCACCAUAGUAUUAAAAACAAAAAGUCUAAAACUAUGUUAAUAUUCUUAAAAGGCAUUGAGUGCCUAGUGGAACAUGGUGCGGUAUCCAAGGAACCUUGCUGGUCGAUUGCCUGAGCAUAUAAUUUAAGAUGAUUUUUCCUUCCUUUAUUUGAUUUGAAAUCUUAAUGGGAUUCUACUGCAGUCCCCCGAGCUUCCCACCACUACUGUGUGGGACAAAGGAUUGCCCGCGUAGGAGAGAGACGCUUUGGCAGGCUUGUCAGCUCCUUUUAUUUGGAACUCAUGUGGUUGUUAGCUUUAUGUGUUUGUAAACUGGCAACGGCUGUCGACAGGAAGGAAUGGUAACUGUCCUAGAGACGGAGGUGGGAGGACACACCUAUGGGAGAGCCCCUCUCCUUCCCUUUAGCAGGAGACCGUACCUCAGCCCCAGGGUCCAGAGGUCACCUACUUUCUGGUGGCUUGGGUGGAGCAUGGAAAAUGGCACCUUUGCUCUUUGGCUUGCACUCUGUUGGGGAGGUCUCCAGCUGUAGCAUACAGAGACACUUCAGCUGUCACUACAGCAGAGGCAGAGUACAGGUGAGAUGAUGUUGGGGGCUAGCCUGCAUGUUAGGGUUUGUAGGUGACAGGGCAGCCACGGCUGGGAGUGACAGGCAAGGCUAGUAAAGUUCCUGCCGGGAUUACCAGGUAAAACCUGGGUCCCUCAGUUCAGCCUAAAUUUCAGAAAAACAAGGCACAGUAUCUUAUGUUGCAUGGGAUCAACUUCUGCUAAAAAUGAUUCAUACUGAAAAGCUCUGGCUGAGGUUCAAAUAACAGAAUAACCUGCCUUCUGAUCUAAAUUGCCAAAUGGUGAAAUUUGAGUCUCUGGAAAAAUCUGACCAGCACUACCACCUCCAUUACUGCCAAAACCCCCUCCUCCUCCUCCACCAUCACAACCACCUCUUUGUCUUCCAUCACCACCACUAUCACCAUCACUAUCACCGUCAGCUCCUCCACCUCUUCCUCCUUCACCAUCACCAUCAUCACUACCACCUACCCAAUCAUAACCACCACAUGGCUGAGUCUUGGAAACAGGAGCUAGGUUGAAGAGAAAAGUGCACAGAGUCUUUCCUUGCAUGGGUCCCUCUUUCCUUCCAUUCUGCCGUGCCUGGUUAUUUCUCCUUACACUCAGCCAUCUGCCCUUUGCAGUGGUGCUGAGAAAGGAGCCUCAGUACAGACCGCACUGUCUGAGGCCAGCUGCUGGGAUUUCUUUCAGUCUUCUGCCAAGGCGACAGGGCACAAACCCAGCUCUGUAAUCUACACCUUGGCCCAAACCAAACCCACAGCCUGUGGGCAGCCAGAGAGGGGUUUCCAAAGUGUGGAUGUUUGGGAACUAUUAAAUAUUCAUAGGCCUCUCCCCACAGGACAGAAUUCCAAAUCCUCCAGUGGUAAGGGUCUUCCUGGUGUGGCCCUCGUUGGUCUUAGGUCCCCUGGGACUUGUCGACCCAUUCCAGCUGCAAAGCGUGUGUGAAACGCAGAGGCCAGGUCAGACGCAGAGCUGAGAUUUUGCUACUCUGUUGGAACCCCCUAACUCCAUUAGGUGUAAUGUCUAUGGGGAUCUUGUCUGCUCACACAUACACAUGUGCACAUGCAUGCAUGUGUGUCCAUGCAGUUAAAUAUGUCCCCUGAAGUCAGCAUGGUGAUGAUCAACAGUCAUGUCAUGUCACGUUGUUAGUGGAACAGAGCUGGGCAGCAUUUGCAUGAACCAUCCUUGUGUCCAAAGUAUCAUGUGUACACUAGGCUCCCCAGGUGCCUGGAAGCAGAACUCCAGGAGGGUUUGACUGGUACCUCCCCUCUAGUCAUAACCCAAGAAGAAUUCCUGCAGAGAGGGUUAGCACCCGUGAAGACCUGGUGCACACCCUAGCCUGCUUCUUGGUAGACAGUGAGAGCAGGCAGUGAGUGAAGCAAGCUUAAUGUCUCUCUCUUAGUUCCAUUUGCUGCACCCCCCCCAAGCCCCCAAUAAUCUUAUCCCUGACCCUGAAACCCCAGCACCGUCUUGGCCCUCACUAGUUUGUGUUUAGUGAAUGCGAGAUGAAGCACAGUGCUUAGCGAAGCCAUUUGGACCCUAUUGGGUUACGACUCCUGCUUUAUCUGGAUUUGCAUGGACUGCUGCCAUUGGCCUGUGGACGGCAGGAAAGGCUAGAUUACACCAGGAGAGAGCAGGAUUGAGACCUGGGGAUUAGGACCCACUGACUAUAGCCCUAGCCUGCUGAUAAUUACCUUGGAGUCAUGUCUUAAAAACCUACUGUGGCCUCUCUUUCUGGCCCAGAAAGAUAAAAACCUACCUACCCUUUCUUUGUCUGGCCAGCUCCUCAUAUUCUCUCUUCUAGAUAUGAUCUAGUGUUCUUUUUUUUUUUUU